CUUCCGGGAGCGGCAGUGGACCCUGUGGCUCCAGGAGGCCCAGCUGGAGGUGGCGUGGAGGCGACAUUGGAAGGCCCUGCUGGCCCAGAGCUUCCGAGAGUGGAGACUCCUGGCGCAGCAGCAGAAACAAGGGCAGCUCCGUAUCCAGGCUGAGCUUGGACCUUGCACUUCCUGGGAGCCAAGGACCAAAUCCCUGCUGGGGAAGAGCGGCAGCGGGGUGCCCCCCACCCCGGGCAGCAGGGCAGGGAGCCAGAAGGAGGAGGAAGGAGCCUGGCCUCCUCCAUCACAGCCUAGGCAGAGACUGCACAGUGGAGAUGAUGAAGACGGGAGAGUCCAGACCCUGCAGGUCCUGCAGCAGCUGGCAGGUGCUUCAGGACCUGGCAGCAGGUCGUGCAGAGGGGCCCAGUGCCAGGGCCACCUGGCUGAAUGUCCUGUGAGGAUCCUGAGGAGGUGCCUGGGACAGUGGGUGCGUGCGGAUGAGGCAACUCCGAGCCUCAGAGGAGGCGAAGGUGACCCAGCUGUCCCUCUGGCGGCAGAGGAGGGGGACCUGGCCCUCUGGAGCUCAGCCCACGACGUGGAGACAGUGGCCUGGGUGUCCCUGCAUGGUGCCUGCUGGAGACUGGCCCUCCGCCG
ensembl:lncRNA